CACCUCUAAAACAUGCUCCAACGCCGCCAUCUUUGCACCUCUCAUCGUAAUUUCUAUACGUUUGACCGUUAGGGGAAACGAUGACGUCAUCGCGUCUCUUAGCAACUGAACGCAUUCGUAGUUAAAUUCUGCUUGCAAAGAAAAAUUUUCUCACUUGGUGGUAACCAGUCAGAAGUUGUUUUCACCAGCCGUUUUCAAUGUAUCCGAUGAGUUCAUAUAUUCAGAGAAUUAACCACCAUCCUGUGGCGCCAUGUGGAUUUAUUACUGUUGUUCAAAUGUCUGAAGCCUGGUCUCCUGGUCCUUUGGCGGAGGAUUGGAUUGCAGCUCAGACUCCAGCUCAGAUUCCCCUGUGUAUGUCUCCAGUGAAUACAUCUUUUCCUUCAUAUCUCGUUCCUUCACCGCUGCAGAUGUCUGCGAAUGUCUGGACUCCUGCUUCAGUUCCAUUGCUGCCAUUGUCUGAAGCUUGGACUCCUUGUCCUUCAGCAGAAGAUUUGAUGGCAGCUCGGACUCCAGUACCUUUUCCAUUAUCUUGGUCUACCACUCCAUCAGAAAUUGAUGCAUCAUCUUUGGAAAUCUCAUAUUUGCAUGCGGCGUGCCAUAGUAACAGCAAACGGGGGCGGAAGAGACAGUGUGGACGCACAGAGAUUGAAGCCACUGGGACCAAUUUUUGUAAGAAGCAGAGAACAACUGUAGACAAAGAUGUCUUUCCGAAAGCUAUCUUUGAUAAACUCAAUGCCAUCCCUGGGAUUUUGGAACUGGCUGUAGAGAUGGGAUUUCUGCCUCAUGUAAACAACAUCAGCAUUAUUGAUUCAUAAGGAAAUUAAUGCCACCUAUAUUUUUAUUCACCAGCACCAGUGAUACAGUUUUCAAGAUUUUUCAUUUUUCAGACAUAAAAUAACUAAAUUUCUAUUUUGCAUUUUAAAAUAUUUGUUUACAAUUUAUUUCAGAGUUUUAAUAUUUUUAUUGUUUAAUACUUUGUGCUAUUUUUGUUUACUUAAAAAAUAAAGAUGUUUUAAAAGAUUUCGCUUUCA
ensembl:lncRNA